rnacentral:rRNA from 1 species
UACGUAGGGUGCAAGCGUUGUCCGGAAUUAUUGGGCGUAAAGCGCUCGUAGGCGGUUCGUCGCGUCGGCUGUGAAAUCCCGAGGCUCAACCUCGGGUCUGCAGUCGAUACGGGCGGACUGGAGUUCGGCAGGGGAGACUGGAAUUCCUGGUGUAGCGGUGAAAUGCGCAGAUAUCAGGAGGAACACCGAUGGCGAAGGCAGCUCGCUGGGACGUGACUGACGCUGAGACGCGAAAGCGUGGGGAGCAAACAGG